UACAGAGGGGGCAAGCGUUAUUCGGAAUUAUUGGGCGUAAAGGGCGCGUAGGCGGCCUGGCAAGUGGAAGGUGAAAUCCCUCGGCUUAACCGAGGAACUGCCCUCCAAACUGCUUGGCUUGAGUCCGGGAGAGGUGAGUGGAAUUCCCAGUGUAGCGGUGAAAUGCGCAGAUAUUGGGAGGAACACCAGUGGCGAAGGCGGCUCACUGGACCGGAACUGACGCUGAGGCGCGAAAGCGUGGGGAGCAAACGGG
rnacentral:rRNA from 1 species